UCGUUGGUACUGACAAAUAUGAAGACGCCGUGAGCGUUCGCCGUCAUGUCUUGCUCAUGAAAGAAGAGAUAACUAAAGUGCCUCUGAACGUCGACCUGAUACAAGACCGCAUGAUGCGGACGUUUCAGUCUAGCCAAGAAUUGAUCCUCAGCGAGGCUGGAGUCCUCACAGUCCUUGAGGAAUUUCCGGCAAUGACGAUUCCCGGAAUGUUACUACAAGACGUUAAACUGCCGUUCGGCAAAGACAUCCGGAGGACAUGAGAGCCAAGAGGGAGGGAUUUACAGCUUCUGCACUGGUGUUCCUCAAAGGAAAAGAACGUCGCUCUGAACCUCGAAGAGCUGCUUGAAGGAAGUCCAGACACUGAUGCCACUUAUCCAUCUCCAGGAAAAUAAAUUUGACAUCUUUUUGGACGGUGUCCUGACAGUGAGCGGCAUCAGAACGACAGUAGAAGCUGUGUGCCCAUUGCUGGCAGUGAUACCCGUC